rnacentral:rRNA from 1 species
UAACGCGAAGAACCUUACCAGGUCUUGACAUCCUUUGAAGCUUUUAGAGAUAGAAGUGUUCUCUUCGGAGACAAAGUGACAGGUGGUGCAUGGUUGUUGUCAGCUCGUGUCGUGAGAUGUUGGGUUAAGUCCCGCAACGAGCGCAACCCUUAUUGUUAGUUGCCAGCAUUCAGUUGGGCACUCUAGCGAGACUGCCGGUGACAAACCGGAGGAAGGCGGGGACGACGUCAGAUCAUCAUGCCCCUUAUGACCUGGGCUACCCACGUGCUACAAUGGCGUAUACAACGAGUUGCCAACCUGCGAAGGUGAGCUAAUCUCUUAAAGUACGUCUCAGUUCGGACUGCAGUUUGCAACUCGACUGCAUGAAGUCGGAAUCGCUCGUAAUCGCGGAUCAAC